rnacentral:tRNA from 1 species
AUUUAUAUAGUUUAAAUAAAACAUUACAUUUUCAAUGUAAAAUCAAAAUCAUAUUUUUUUAUAAAUU